rfam:Caenorhabditis remanei strain PB4641 contig66.20, whole genome shotgun sequence.
GCUAACGUCCUUAUCACGUUGAAUGCAGGCCAUCCCGUCCGAUCUGGCAAGUUAAGCAACGUAGAGUCCAGUUAGUAUUUGGAUCGGAGACGGCCUGGGAAUCCUGGACGUUGUAAGCU